GCACAACGCGAAGAACCUUACCUAGGCUUGAACUCCUACGAACCUGUUGUAAUGGACGGGGUGCCCGCAAGGGAAUGUAGUGAGAGGUGUUGCAUGGCUGUCGUCAGCUCGUGUUGUGAAAUGUUGGGUUAAGUCUCGCAACGAGCGCAACCCCUAUCGUCUGUUGCCAGCAUUUAGUUGGGCACUCUGACGAGACUGCCUGGGUUAACCAGGAGGAAGGUGGGGAUGACGUCAAGUCCUCAUGGCCCUUAUGUCUAGGGCUACACACGUAAUACAAUGGCGCGUACAAUGGGAAGCGAACCAGUGAUAGGGAGCAAAUCUCAAAAAGCGCGCCUCAGUUCGGAUUGGAGUCUGCAACUCGACUCCAUGAAGUUGGAAUCGCUAGUAAUCGGAGAUCAGCACGCUCCGGUGAAUACGUUCCCGGGUCUUGUACACACCG
rnacentral:rRNA from 1 species